rnacentral:misc_RNA from 1 species
CCCAUUCUCUCCUCCUCUCCAGCUUUCCUAUUUCAGGGUUUUCUAGGGUUUACAGGAUCCUCGAAAUUCCUGUUAUACCCUUCGCAUUUUGUGUUGCAUAGAUUAUUAUUCUCUCGCUUCCGUAUACUGGAUUGCUGGUUACUUCUUAUUCUUCGGUGUCACUUCCUACUCCUGUAACUUGAUUACUGUUUGGUUUCUGAGAAAAUUGAGGGAAAGAAAUAGAAAAGUUAUAUGAAAAUUUUGAGAUGGAUGCUUGUUAAGGAAUAGUCUAUUUGGAUGGUAUGGAUGAAGGAUUGGUUGAUGAAGUGGCUCCAGUUGAUGUGGCAGAGGGGGCACACCCUCACAGCAAAGAGAAUGAAUAUUCCCUGAA